UCCUCGGUAAUAUGGUGGUCAGUAUUUCCGCCUAUCACGCGGGAAAUCCGGUUCGAUUCCUCGUCGGAGAA